GCUGGGGUUGCCUCCCUUGAACACCGUCAGCCACCUCCUUCCUCCGACAGCCACUGCGACCACUGUGACGGUCUCAUUGCAUCGCAGCUAUCGACACCGCUUGUCACCAGAGCCACCGCAGGCUGAGGCGAAAACUCCCAUGCUCUGCCGCGUCGACAUUCGAGUUCGAUCUGAGAUGUCGCCGGUGACGCAGGUCGCCACCGUAGCCUUAGCGCGUGUCGUGUCGGAAGAAGCCGCGUGCACCACCGCUCACCACCGGGAUCUCGCUCCUUCACGUCCCCGUCUUCGUCGCUUCCUCGCUGCCUUCUUCUCUUCUACGAAUUCGAGACCCUAAUC
rnacentral:lncRNA from 1 species